rnacentral:misc_RNA from 1 species
GUAGGUGAACCUGCGGAAGGAUCAUUAAAGAGCUAGACCCCUUGCCGGGUCGAACCUCCAACCCCAUGUGAUAUACACCGAGUUGCUUCGGCGGAAAAGCCGUCCGGGCCCCACCGGCGCGGACGGCCCCUGCCGCCGGAGGCCACGCAAACUCUCGCUGAACAUACGCGUCCGAGUAAACACAAACAACCGAAACAAAACUUUCAACAACGGAUCUCUUGGUUCUG